UUUCUCUAGGAGAUAUCAAGGAAAGGAAAUUUGCAUGUGUACAUAUAUACACAAUUUUCCCCUAAAGUAGAAUGGCUGAAUCAUGGUGAAUUGAUAAAUAAGGCACUGAAUUAGAGUGAACAUAAGUAAUGAAACUAUUAUCUCCAACUGAAGAUAAAGGAAGAAAAAAAUCUAUAUUUAACAUCACCUUGAUGGGUGAUGGGCAGAUCAAAUAUAUCUCUGUGUCUAUAACUAAAAAGCUCUGAGCUAAGGCUCAGUAAUAGCCAAUCCAGUUCUCAUAAAGAGAUCAGAAAAAUCAGGGCUAGAGAGAUGCCAAAUGGUUAAGAAUAAGUACUGUCCUUACAGAGGACCCAGAUUCAGUGCCGAGAACCCAUAUAAUACAGCUCACAGCUACCUGGAACUGCACCUCCUAUGGACCUGACCACUACUGCAGCCUCUAUGGGCAUCUGCACUCAUGUCCCUUACACAUAGACAUACGCAUGUACACAUAACAAAGAAAAUCCUAAAGUCCAGAUCAGAGAUGUAAUUAAGCAACUGGCCAGUGCCAGUCACUUAAGAGCCUUUGAACUCAUGUGGACCUGUGUAUUCUCUGGGGGUCUACAUUGUGGGGAAGCUCUUAGUGAGGCUCCCAAGAACACCAUGUUGCUGAUUCUUUGGUAUGAGGAGAUCACUGGAGGCAGGGUCUACAUGCUCCUUGCCUUUGCAUUCUGAACACUCAGUGUUGAGCCUGGCACAUUGCAGAUGUAAUAAAUGUUGUUCUGAAUUGACUUACACCCACCAACCCGUUUAUUAAAAACAGAAAAUAAAAGGAAAAAAACCAAGCUGUGUGAUUUCCUCUAGACACAGUUAUAAUUUACUAUCUAGGACAAGGCUCACCAAUCAAACAUUUAUCUCAAGUCCUUGAGAGGAUAAUUUACCUUCAACAAUUAUUAUUAAUACCUUUUACCAACAUGGGACUACAGAAAAAUUGAACUGAUGAAAAGUGUCUAUCUUUUUUCAUCCAGAAAUAAUUACACCUUUCAAAAAACUAUAUUUUGGGGUUUACCAGAUGAUGGUGUUUUUCAGAUCUCAGGUUGCAAAAGCUGAAUCCUUUUAUCAAUAAUGUUCAAGAUAGAGACACGUCCAAGGUUACUGAAACAGGGCUAUAAAUCACCUCCUGGGUGAGAUGUCUCACAAGAUUAAAAAGAACCAUCAUGUUACCUGCAGAUGGAAUGCCCCACCUCACACAUGUCUGUAUAUUUAAAAUGGCACCCCAAAAAAGCCACACCACAGAAAUGCAGUGCAUGUAUUAGUGAAGAAGUCAAAAAGCAUUUAGGUAAUUUAGGAAUAAAAUGAGUGCUAAUCAUUAUUUUAAAGUUAUGUUUUGUAGAAUUUACUCAUUAUCUCCAUUUGCC
rnacentral:lncRNA from 1 species